UACGGGGGGGGGCAAGCGUUGUUCGGAAUUACUGGGCGUAAAGGGUGCGUAGGCGGUCCGCUAAGUUGGAUGUGAAAACUCUGGGCUUAACCCAGAGCCUGCAUUCAAAACUGACGGGCUAGAGUUCUGGAGGGGGUAGCGGAAUUCCUGGUGUAGCGGUGAAAUGCGUAGAUAUCAGGAGGAAUACCGAUGGCGAAGGCAGGUCUCUGGGCUGACACUGACGCUCAUGCACGAAAGCGUGGGGAGCAAACAGG
rnacentral:rRNA from 1 species